rnacentral:lncRNA from 1 species
AAAGGGGGGGUGGUGAAGAGAGGAACUUGGGAGCAAGGCUCUAUGGCAGGGAGGGGGGUGCCCUCCUUGGAGAUUUAUUGUCAUGCAUAAGCUGAUGACCAGCGGCAGUCCAGCAGUCCCUUUGCUGACAGACGGAGGCAGCUGAGAGAGCCAGCCUUGUGGAUCAAGGCUGGCAUUGGAGUGGACCAAGGCUGAUGAUUCUUCUCUCCCACGACGCUCCAGCAACCCCAAGAGUGAAGGAGUGGAGCAUGCUCAGAACUUGGUGGACUUGUGGAAGCCUGAGGAAACUAGGAUUCUUGGCCUCUCCAGUGUGAGGCAGCCAUGGCUGGGCUACCUGGACCACACCCUAAGCCAAUCUAAUAAAUCCCCCUUAAUAUC